AACGAACGCUGGCGGCAUGCUUAACACAUGCAAGUCGAACGCUCUUAGCCUUUCGGGGCGACAGAGAGUGGCAGACGGGUGAGGAACGCGUGGGAACAUACCUUGUAGUGGGGAAUAACGGUUGGAAACGAUCGCUAAUACCGCAUAAGCCCGAGAGGGGAAAGGAGCAAUUCGCUAUAGGAGUGGCCCGCGUUAGAUUAGGUAGUUGGUGGGGUAAAGGCCUACCAAGCCUGUGAUCUAUAGCUGAUUUGAGAGGAUGAACAGCCGCACUGGGACUGAGACACGGCCCAGAUUCCUACGGGAGGAAGCAGUGGGGAAUAUUGGACAAUGGGGGAAACCCUGAUCCAGAAAUGCCGCGUGAAUGAUGAAGGCCUUCGGGUUGUAAAGUUCUUUUACCUGAGAAGAUAAUGACGGUAUCAGGGGAAAAAGCACCGGCUAACUUCGUGCCAGCCGCCGCCGUAA
rnacentral:rRNA from 1 species